GUGCUCACUUCUGCAGCACAUAUACAAAAAUUGGAACAACACAGAGAAGAUUAGCAUGGCCCUUGCACAAAGAUGACAUGCAGGUACGUAAAGCAUUUCAUAUAAUA